rnacentral:rRNA from 1 species
GUGCCAGACUCCUACGGGAGGCAGCAGUGAGGAAUAUUGGUCAAUGGGCGGGAGCCUGAACCAGCCAAGUCGCGUGAGGGAAGACGGUCCUAUGGAUUGUAAACCUCUUUAGGCGGGGAGCAAUGCCGGGCACGUGUGCCCGGAGGGAGAGUACCCGCAGAAUAAGCACCGGCUAACUACGUGCCAGCAGCCGCGGUAAUACGUAGGGUGCGAGCGUUAAUCGGAAUUACUGGGCGUAAAGGGUGUGCAGGCGGCUGAGUAAGACAGAUGUGAAAUCCCCGGGCUUAACCUGGGAACCGCAUAUGUGACUGCUUGGCUAGAGUGCGUCAGAGGGAGGUGGAAUUCCACGUGUAGCAGUGAAAUGCGUAGAUAUGUGGAAGAACACCGAUGGCGAAGGCAGCCUCCUGGGACGCAACUGACGCUCAUACACGAAAGCGUGGGGAGCAAACAGGAUUAGAUACCCGUGUA